rnacentral:rRNA from 1 species
AAGGUAAGGAAUAACGUCGAGAAAUCGGCGCUAAUACUCAUAAUGCAGCGGAUCCGCAUGGAUAUGUUGUUAAAGGUUACCGCCUUGGGAUAGGCUUGCGUCUGAUUAGCUAGUUGGUGUGGUAACGGCACACCAAGGCUACGAUCAGUAACUGGUCUGAGAGGAUGAUCAGUCACACUGGAACUGAGACACGGUCCAGACUCCUACGGGAGGCAGCAGUGAGGAAUAUUGGGCAAUGCUCGAAAGAGUGACCCAGCAACGCCGCGUGGAGGAUGAAGGUAUUCUAUAUCGUAAACUCCUGUGAGAGCAGACGAAAGACAGAUUAUUAAUCUGGAUGGCUGUAUGCUCAGAGGAAGCCCCGGCUAACUACGUG